CGGCGCCCAUGUAUCUUGCGCUUUUCAGUGAUUUUCCGCUAUGUAUUUAAAAUUACGAAAAAGUUAGCCCAACUGAUACGUGAUUUUGUAAUACACCUUCCAAUACUGUGAAUUUAUUGGUGACGCAAUAUAAGCUACAUCGUCCAAUCAUAGACUGUUUUACAAUGGGUCGGAGAUAGUGUUGUUAUCGACAGCGUCAAACAAAAUGUACCUAUACCAGUAGAUCUAUUCAGUUUCAACGCUGGACAUUUAACAAAUUACAUCUUCAGAUAAAGAAGGCAGCCGGCAAGAAAUGGCUGUCCACACUCUGGACAAGAAAUGAGCAUGCAUUGAUGGAAUUUUAUUUACUAUGUAGUACCCAGAUUAAGAAGACAGGGCAAGAAAUGGCUGUCCACACUCUGGACAAAAAGUGCAUGCUUUGAUGGAACAUCAUUUAGUUCCCAGGGGGAAAGAUCAAAGAGUUGGUUAUUGGGAAGUCGAAAAAAAACCAGGUGUUUCAGUGGCAUCAAACAGGAUUGUCUGCCGGUAAUGUACAAGUCUAACAAGAAAGCGUGGAUAACGGAAGAAAUUUUUGAAAAAUUGCUACACUGGUUUGACAGACAAAUGAAAGGCAGGAAAAUGCUUCUUUUUGCGGACAAUGCACCAUCCUAUCCUCAGGUUAAUCUCAAAAAUGUCAAUGUUAAGUUCUUACCACCAAAUACAACAUCAUUUUGCCAACCAAUGGACCAAGGAAUAAUCCAGGCAAUGAAACUUAAGUACAGGAAGAAACAACUACAGUACGUGAUCAGCCAAAUGGAACUUAAGCAGGGAAAAAGUGGAUUUGAUCUGUUGAAAGAAUAAGUGUGCUGGACGCAAUUUACUGGGUUGCGCGUGCAUUGAAAGAAGUUGAAGUUAGCAGUAUCGUUAAGUGUUUCGCGAAAUGUGGAUUUCAGAUAGACAGCAGUGUUGAAAGUAAAAGUGAAUGCACAGUGUUGAACGAUUCAGAGAGUGAUGAAGAGGAGGAUGAUAACUAUCCAAUAGCUCUUCACAAAAUGGUUCAACAGUUGUUCGAUUGUGAUUUCAUAGAAUUGUUGAAUAUCGAUAAAGAGUUCAAAUCAUGUGAUUAGGAAAUGAAGGACUGGGACAGGCCUACUACCGAAUUGCUUUCGGAAAUGAGGGAACGGGUCAGUGAUGAAACAUCUGACUGUGAAGACGAUCAGCUCCAAGAACGAGAAUAACGCGUGUUCCACAAGUGAGUGCUUGGAAAUGAUUUAAAAACUUAAAAAGUAUGCAGUAUUCCAUGGAAAUUAAAGUCUGCUAGGAACAUUUGUUGAUGUCGAGGACAUUGUCACAAGCCAAAAACUUGUAGGGAACACUGAGCAGAGUAAGAUCUGUGACUUCUUUGCCAAAUGCUGAACAUUUUGGGUUAUUCCACAUGUGCAGGUCUUAAAUUUGUGUCACAUAGAAAAGAGAACAUAGGUCUAGGAGAGGUUCUACACAGGAAGAGCGAACUGUUAAAACUGAUUUUAAACGUUUGAUAAUUUCAUUUUUUCAGUUUGUAUUGCUGUACUGUUCUUGAUAAAUGUUUAUGUAAAUUGAAAUUUCUGAGAAAUAUUUUUUUACAUUUAAUAACAAAUUUAUACGUUUA